rnacentral:rRNA from 1 species
GAUGAACGCUAGCGGCAGGCCUAACACAUGCAAGUCGAGGGGUAGAGUUAGCUUGCUAACUUGAGACCGGCGCACGGGUGCGCAACGCGUAUGCAAUCUACCUUGUACAGGGGGAUAGCCCAGAGAAAUUUGGAUUAAUACCCCAUGGUGUUUAGAAGUGGCAUCACUUUUUUACUAAAGUUCCAACGGUACAAGAUGAGCAUGCGUCCCAUUAGCUAGUUGGUAUGGUAACGGCAUACCAAGGCUAUGAUGGGUAGGGGUCCUGAGAGGGAGAUCCCCCACACUGGUACUGAGACACGGACCAGACUCCUACGGGAGGCAGCAGUGAGGAAUAUUGGUCAAUGGUCGCAAGACUGAACCAGCCAUGCCGCGUGCAGGAAGACGGUCCUAUGGAUUGUAAACUGCUUUUAUACAGGAAGAAACCCUCUCACGUGUGGGAGCUUGACGGUACUGUAUGAAUAAGCAUCGGCUAACUCCGUGCCAGCCGCCGCCGUAA